rnacentral:rRNA from 1 species
UACGUAGGGGGCAAGCGUUGUCCGGAUUUAUUGGGCGUAAAGGGCGCGUAGGCGGAUAGUUUAGUCAGAGGUGAAAGCCCAGGGCUCAACCCUGGAAUUGCCUUUGAUACUGGCUAUCUUGAGUUCGGGAGAGGUGAGUGGAACUCCGAGUGUAGAGGUGAAAUUCGUAGAUAUUCGGAAGAACACCAGUGGCGAAGGCGACUCACUGGCCCGAUACUGACGCUGAGGCGCGAAAGCGUGGGGAGCAAACAGG